CGCGGCCUAUCAGCUUGUUGGCGGGGUAACGGCCCACCAAGGCAUCGACGGGUAGCUGGUUUGAGAGAACGAUCAGCCACACUGGGACUGAGACACGGCCCAGACUCCUACGGGAGGCAGCAGUGGGGAAUCUUGCGCAAUGGGCGAAAGCCUGACGCAGCAACGCCGCGUGCGGGAUGACGGCCUUCGUGGUUGUAAACCGCUUUCAGCAGGGACGAAAAUGACGGCACCUGCAGAAGAAGCCCCGGCUAACUACGUGCCAGCAGCCGCGGUAAUACGUAGGGGGCAAGCGUUGUCCGGAUUCAUUGGGCGUAAAGAGCUCGUAGGCGGUUCAGUAAGUCAGGUGUGAAAGCUCCGAGCUCAACUCGGAGAGGCCACUUGAUACUGCUGUGACUAGAAUCCAGUAGGGGAGCGUGGAACUCCUGGUGUAGCGGUGAAAUGCGCAGAUAUCAGGAAGAACACCAGCGGCGAAGGCGGCGCUCUGGGCUGGAAUUGACGCUGAGGAGCGAAAGUGUGGGUAGCAAACAGGAUUAGAUACCCUGGUAGUCCACACCGUAAACGUUGGGCACUAGGUGUGGGGAGGAUCAACCCUUUCCGUGCCGUAGCUAACGCAUUAAGUUCCCCGCCUGGGGAGUACGG
rnacentral:rRNA from 1 species